GGCAGCCCCCUAACUCCUCUCUAUCUCUCUCUCCCCGGAUCUCAUUCUCUCUCUCAGCUCUCUAACCCUCACACCUUCCUCUCUCGCACACCAUUCCCGUUCGACACACGCACGCCGAGGAACACCACCACCCCGACGUCGACAACACCACCACCUUCACCAUCGUGUACUCUCCCUCUCACUCUCCCUCGUCUUCGUGAAGCACAGGACACCCGGAGCUCACUCAAAAACCCAGGUGCACCCUAAGGCUUUCGAGCCCAGAUCCUGGCCAUUUACGACCCUCCCACUUUGAAUCAAAGGUGCAAUUACUAGCGGCUAUUCUGUUAUUCCUAUUUCGUACUGCUCAUCUACGACGGAGUAUUUGUGAGUGGACUCCUUCUAAAAAUGUAUAUUUUAUUGCUAGAUAUGCAUACAUGAAAAUCAUGAUUUAAUGAUAACGUUUUAUGAGAAAUUGAUUAUCAUGCUAUACUAAGCUUAUUUUGGAAUACCAUAUUUUCUAUCAAACCCAUGUUCUAGUAGAAUAUCUGAUGAAUGACAAUACAAUACUUAGAACAUGUUUUCAUACAUUUCUUUAUAGUAUAGAUGAUGGAUGAUUUUAUACUAUGAAGUUGCUUUUGAGAUAUAUGUACCUAUGUUUGGAAAGAUUAUGUUCAAUGGUUUUGUACUUACCUAGUGGUCCUUAUUCCGCCUGUGGGCAAGGUUUACGUGUUGGCAUAGGGCCUGAAGCAAAUUCCUCUGGCUACGGCGCAGGGACAGGAAGCAGGCAUAGGGCCUAGAGUUGAGAAUGGACACAUACACUAGUGAUUACACUUUUAUGAGAUGGCUUUUUGUGGUGUUUUAUGGCAUGCUGGGGUUUUCAAAAAUCUAUCACAUAUUAUGCUAUUAGUUUUCAUAGAACUUUGGGGGUUGGUAUGUUGAUAACUGUUUCAAUAUUAUAUAUAUAUCAACUUGGUCCGCUCAUAUUUGUUUUGUGCCUCCAGCAAGACAUAGGAACGUGGACUACGAUUCGACGUACAAGGAAUCCAUACCAGUGACAUCGUGCUAGAUCCUCUUUCUUUGGCCUCUAUUGUAAUAGCACUCUCUAUCUUACCUUCUGUUGUAAUCUGAUUUAGAAUAUGCUAUGAACAUGUCAUGCAUCUUUACGAAUUUAUUGUUGACAGUCGAAUAUUAUUUUAAGUAUAUUAGUAUUCGUAUGAAAUUUAUAUGUAUGAUUUCACA